rnacentral:rRNA from 1 species
UACAGAGGUCCCAAGCGUUGUUCGGAUUCACUGGGCGUAAAGGGCGCGUAGGCGGCCUGGCAAGUGGAAGGUGAAAUCCCUCGGCUUAACCGAGGAACUGCCCUCCAAACUGCUUGGCUUGAGUCCGGGAGAGGUGAGUGGAAUUCCCAGUGUAGCGGUGAAAUGCGUAGAUAUUGGGAGGAACACCAGUGGCGAAGGCGGCUCACUGGACCGGAACUGACGCUGAGGCGCGAAAGCGUGGGGAGCAAACGGG